rnacentral:rRNA from 1 species
CGAUGAGGGANUCCAGNUGCUANCACAUUAGUGUUAGCUUUUCUUAAGCGUANANAACUUAAGGAAUAAGGGCUGGGUAAGACGGGUGCCAGCCGCCGCGGUA